UACAGAGGUCCCGAGCGUUGUUCGGAUUCAUUGGGCGUAAAGGGUGCGUAGGCGGCGGGGCCAGUCUGAUGUGAAAUCCCCGGGCUCAACCCGGGAACUGCAUCUGAAACUGCUGGUCUUGAGUACUGGAGAGGGUGGCGGAAUUCCUGGUGUAGAGGUGAAAUUCGUAGAUAUCAGGAGGAACACCGGUGGCGAAGGCGGCCACCUGGACAGUAACUGACGCUGAGAUGCGAAAGCGUGGGGAGCAAACAGG
rnacentral:rRNA from 1 species